UACGUAGGGGGCAAGCGUUGUCCGGAUUUAUUGGGCGUAAAGAGCGUGUAGGCGGCCAGACAGGUCUGCUGUGAAAACUCGAGGCUCAACCUCGAGACGUCGGUUGAAACCGUUUGGCUAGAGUCCGGAAGAGGAGAGUGGAAUUCCCGGUGUAGCGGUGAAAUGCGCAGAUAUCAGGAAGAACACCCGUGGCUAAGGCGGCUCUCUAGUACGGUACUGACGCUGAGACGCGAAAGCGUGGGGAGCGAACAGG
rnacentral:rRNA from 1 species